rnacentral:rRNA from 1 species
GAGUUUGAUCCUGGCUCAGGACGAACGCUGGCGGCGUGCCUAAUACAUGCAAGUCGAGCGGACAGAAGGGAGCUUGCUCCCGGAUGUUAGCGGCGGACGGGUGAGUAACACGUGGGUAACCUGCCUGAAGACUGGGAUAACUCCGGGAAACCGGAGCUAAUACCGGAUAGUUCCUUGAACCGCAUGGUUCAAGGAUGAAAGACGGUUUCGGCUGUCACUUACAGAUGGACCCGCGGCGCAUUAGCUAGUUGGUGGGUAAUGGCUCACCAAGGCGACGAUGCGUAGCCGACCUGAGAGGGUGAUCGGCCACACUGGGACUGAGACACGGCCCAGACUCCUACGGGAGGCAGCAGUAGGGAAUCUUCCGCAAUGGACGAAAGUUGACGGAGCAACGCCGCGUGAGUGAUGAAGGUUUUCGGAUCGUAAAGCUCUGUUGUUAGGGAAGAACAAGUGCGAGAGUAACUGCUCGCACCUUGACGGUACCUAACCAGAAAGCCACGGCUAACUAGUGCCAGCAGCCGCGGUAAUACGUAGGUGGCAAGCGUUGUCCGGAAUUAUUGGGCGUAAAGGGCUCGCAGGCGGUUUCUUAAGUCUGAUGUGAAAGCCCCCGGCUCAACCGGGGAGGGUCAUUGGAACUGGGAAACUUGAGUGCAGAAGAGGAGAGUGGAAUUCCACGUGUAGCGGUGAAAUGCGUAGAGAUGUGGAGGAACACCAGUGGCGAAGGCGACUCUCUGGUCUGUAACUGACGCUGAGGAGCGAAAGCGUGGGGAGCGAACAGGAUUAGAUCCCUGGUAGUCCACGCCGUAAACGAUGAGUGCUAAGUGUUAGGGGGUUUCCGCCCCUUAGUGCUGCAGCUAACGCAUAAGCACUCCGCCUGGGGAGUACGGUCGCAAGACUGAAACUCAAAGGAAUUACGGGGGCCCGCACAAGCGGUGGAGCAUGUGGUUUAAUUCGAAGCAACGCGAAGAACCUUACCAGGUCUUGACAUCCUCUGACAACCCUAGAGAUAGGGCUUUCCCUUCGGGGACAGAGUGACAGGUGUGCAUGGUUGUCGUCAGCUCGUGUCGUGAGAUGUUGGGUUAAGUCCCGCAACGAGCGCAACCCUUGAUCUUAGUUGCCAGCAUUCAGUUGGGCACUCUAAGGUGACUGCCGGUGACAAACCGGAGGAGGUGGGGAUGACGUCAAAUCAUCAUGCCCCUUAUGACCUGGGCUACACACGUGCUACAAUGGACAGAACAAAGGGCUGCAAGACCGCAAGGUUUAGCCAAUCCCAUAAAUCUGUUCUCAGUUCGGACGCAGUCUGCAACUCGACUGCGUGAAGCUGGAAUCGCUAGUAAUCGCGGAUCAGCAUGCCGCGGUGAAUACGUUCCCGGGCCUUGCACACACCGGCCCGUCA